rnacentral:rRNA from 1 species
AGUGAACGCUGGCGGUAGGCCUAACACAUGCAAGUCGAACGGCAGCACAGUAAGAGCUUGCUCUUACGGGUGGCGAGUGGCGGACGGGUGAGGAAUACAUCGGAAUCUACUUUUUCGUGGGGGAUAACGUAGGGAAACUUACGCUAAUACCGCAUACGACCUACGGGUGAAAGCAUGGGAUCUUCGGACCUUGCGCGAUUGAAUGAGCCGAUGUCGGAGUAGCUAGUUGGCGGGGUAAAGGCCCACCAAGGCGACGAUCCGUAGCUGGUCUGAGAGGAUGAUCAGCCACACUGGAACUGAGACACGGUCCAGACUCCUACGGGAGGCAGCAGUGGGGAAUAUUGGACAAUGGGCGCAAGCCUGAUCCAGCCAUACCGCGUGGGUGAAGAAGGCCUUCGGGUUGUAAAGCCCUUUUGUUGGGAAAGAAAAGCAGCAGGUUAAUACCCCGCUGUUCUGACGGUACCCAAAGAAUAAGCACCGGCUAACUUCGUG